rnacentral:rRNA from 1 species
UACGUAGGGGGCAAGCGUUGUCCGGAUUUAUUGGGCGUAAAGAGCGUGUAGGCGGCUUGGUAGGUCCGCUGUGAAAACUCGAGGCUCAACCUCGAGAUGUCGGCGGAAACCACUUGGCUAGAGUCCGGAAGAGGAGAGUGGAAUUCCCGGUGUAGCGGUGAAAUGCGUAGAUAUCGGGAAGACCACCUAUGGCGAAGGCAGCUCUCUGGGACGGUAUUGACGCUGAGACGCGAAAGCGUGGGAGCGAACAGG